GAUGAACGCUGGCGGCGUGCCUAAUACAUGCAAGUCGAGCGAACAGAUGAGGAGCUUGCUCCUCUGAAGUUAGCGGCGGACGGGUGAGUAACACGUGGAUAACCUACCUAUAAGACUGGGAUAACUUCGGGAAACCGGAGCUAAUACCGGAUAAUAUAUUGAACCGCAUGGUUCAAUAGUGAAAGACGGUUUUGCUGUCACUUAUAGAUGGAUCCGCGCCGCAUUAGCUAGUUGGUAAGGUAACGGCUUACCAAGGCAACGAUGCGUAGCCGACCUGAGAGGGUGAUCGGCCACACUGGAACUGAGACACGGUCCAGACUCCUACGGGAGGCAGCAGUAGGGAAUCUUCCGCAAUGGGCGAAAGCCUGACGGAGCAACGCCGCGUGAGUGAUGAAGGUCUUCGGAUCGUAAAACUCUGUUAUUAGGGAAGAACAAAUGUGUAAGUAACUAUGCACGUCUUGACGGUACCUAAUCAGAAAGCCACGGCUAACUACGUG
rnacentral:rRNA from 1 species